rnacentral:rRNA from 1 species
GGAGCGUUCUGUAAGCCUGCGAAGGUGUGCUGUGAGGCAUGCUGGAGGUAUCAGAAGUGCGAAUGCUGACAUAAGUAACGAUAAAGCGGGUGAAAAGCCCGCUCGCCGGAAGACCAAGGGUUCCUGUCCAACGUUAAUCGGGGCAGGGUGAGUCGACCCCUAAGGCGAGGCCGAAAGGCGUAGUCGAUGGGAAACAGGUUAAUAUUCCUGUACUUGGUGUUACUGCGAAGGGGGGACGGAGAAGGCUAUGUUGGCCGGGCGACGGUUGUCCCGGUUUAAGCGUGUAGGCUGGUUUUCCAGGCAAAUCCGGAAAAUCAAGGCUGAGGCGUGAUGACGAGGCACUACGGUGCUGAAGCAACAAAUGCCCUGCUUCCAGGAAAAGCCUCUAAGCAUCAGGUAACAUCAAAUCGUACCCCAAACCGACACAGGUGGUCAGGUAGAGAAUACCAAGGCGCUUGAGAGAACUCGGGUGAAGGAACUAGGCAAAAUGGUGCCGUAACUUCGGGAGAAGGCACGCUGAUAUGUAGGUGAAGUCCCUUGCGGAUGGAGCUG